AAGUAACUAAGGGCGUAUGGUGGAUGCCUUGGCUCUCAGAGGCGAUGAAGGACGUGAUAAGCUGCGAUAAGCUGCGGGGAGGUGCAAACAGACCUUGAUCCGUAGAUUUCCGAAUGGGGUAACCCAUACGAUGAAGUCGUAUAUUCCGUAAGGAGAGGCGAACCCGGAGAACUGAAACAUCUAAGUACCCGGAGGAAAAGAAAACAAUAGUGAUUCCCUAAGUAGUGGCGAGCGAACAGGGAAUAGCCCAAACCAACACGGUUACGGCCGUGUGGGGUUGUAGGACUGACAAGAUGGACUGUAAAUUGAUAGUAGAAUUACCUGGAAAGGUAAGCCAUAGAAGGUGAAAGCCCUGUAUCGAAAUAAAUUUAGUACCUAGUAGUAUCCUGAGUAGCGCGGGACGGGAAUCCCUGUGUGAAUCUGCCAGCACCAUCUGGUAAGGCUAAAUACUCCUGAGAGACCGAUAGCGAACUAGUACCGUGAGGGAAAGGUGAAAAGAACCCGAGAAGGGAGUGAAAUAGAACCUGAAACCGUACGCCUACAAGCGGUCGGAGCCACUACGUGUGGUGACGGCGUGCCUUUUGCAUAAUGAGCCUACGAGUUACUCCUCACUGGCAAGGUUAAUCCGCUAAGCGGAGCAGCCGAAGCGAAAGCGAGUCUGAAUAGGGCGCAUAGUCAGUGGGGUAGACGCGAAACCUUGUGAUCUACCCAUGGCCAGGAUGAAGUCUCGGUAACACGAGAUGGAGGUCCGAACCGGUGAACGUUGAAAAGUUCUCGGAUGAGCUGUGGGUAGGGGUGAAAGGCUAAUCAAACUGGGAAAUAGCUCGUACUCCCCGAAAUGCUUUAGGGACAGCCUCGAGGUUGAGUGUCAUAGAGGUAGAGCUACUGAUAGGGCUAGGGGGCUUCACCGCCUACCAAACCCUGACAAACUCCGAAUGCUAGACAUAUAUCUCGGGAGUGAGGCAUUGGGUGCUAAGGUCCAGUGCCGAAAGGGAAACAACCCAGACCACCAGCUAAGGUCCCCAAAUGUAUCGCUAAGUUGUUCAAACGUGGUCCAAUUGCAUUGACAGCUAGGAUGUUUGCUUGGAAGCAGCAAUUCAUUUAAAGAGUGCGUAACAGCUCACUAGUCGAGCGAUCGGGCGUGGAUAAUAAACGGGCAUUAAGCUAUACUACCGAAGCUUGGUGCUCAGUAUGACUGAUGGGUAGGGGAGCAUUCUAAUCUGCGCUGAAGGUGUAACGCGAGUUAUGCUGGAGCGUUCAGAAAAGCAAAUGUAGGCAUAAGUAACGAUAAAGCAGGUGAGAAACCUGCUCACCGAUAGACUAAGGUUUCCUGAGCAAUGUUAAUCGACUCAGGGUUAGUCGGGACCUAAGGCGAAACCGAAACGGGGUAGUCGAUGGACAACGGUUAAUAUUCCGUACUAGCUUUAUUGCGAUGGGGUGACGGAGUAGUGAAAGCUCGCGAGUGACGGAAGUCUCGUUAAAGCGUGUAGUAAUUGGCAGUAGGAAAUCCGUACUGAUGCGAACGUGAUAGUACCCAAAGCUCUCGGCAGAGCGGAUAGCAGAUCCUAAUCAGACUUCCAAGAAAAACCUCUAAGCUUCAGAUAAAGCUACCCGUACCGCAAACCGACACAGGUAGUCAAGGAGAGAAUCCUAAGGUGCUCGAGUGAAUCAUGGCUAAGGAACUCGGCAAAUUAGCCCUGUAACUUCGGGAUAAAGGGUGCCUCUGCGAAGUAGGGCCGCAGUGAAAUGGCCAGGCGACUGUUUAUCAAAAACACAGGCUUUGCAAAAUCGAAAGAUGAAGUAUAGGGCCUGACACCUGCCCGGUGCUGGAAGGUUAAGAGGAGAGGUUAGCAGCAAUGCGAAGCUUUGAAUCGAAGCCCCAGUAAACGGCGGCCGUAACUAUAACGGUCCUAAGGUAGCGAAAUUCCUUGUCGGGUAAGUUCCGACCUGCACGAAUGGUGUAACGAUCUGGGCACUGUCUCAGCCAUGAGCUCGGUGAAAUUGUAGUCCCGGUGAAGAUGCCGGGUACCCGCAACGGGACGGAAAGACCCCGUGCACCUUUACUACAGCUUAACAUUGACUUGGAUAAUUGAUGUGUAGGAUAGGUGGGAGACUUUGAAGCGAAGGCGCCAGCUUCGUGGAGUCGACCUUGAAAUACCACCCUUCAAUUAUUUGGAUUCUAACCCCGUACAUACGGGGGACAGUGUUAGGUGGGUAGUUUGACUGGGGUGGUCGCCUCCCAAAGAGUAACGGAGGCUUUCAAAGGUACCCUCAGCACGCUUGGUAACCGUGCGUAGAGUGCAAUGGCAUAAGGGUGCUUAACUGUGAGACCGACAAGUCGAGCAGAUACGAAAGUAGGACAUAGUGAUCCGGUGGUUCCGCAUGGAAGGGCCAUCGCUCAUAGGAUAAAAGGUACGCCGGGGAUAACAGGCUGAUCACUCCCAAGAGCUCAUAUCGACGGAGUGGUUUGGCACCUCGAUGUCGGCUCGUCACAUCCUGGGGCUGGAGAAGGUCCCAAGGGUUCGGCUGUUCGCCGAUUAAAGUGGCACGCGAGCUGGGUUCAGAACGUCGUGAGACAGUUCGGUCCCUAUCUGUUGUGGGCGUUGGAAACUUGAGAGGACCUGACUCUAGUACGAGAGGACCGAGUCGGACGAACCUCUAGUGUACCUGUUGUGGCGCCAGCUGCAUCGCAGGGUAGCUAUGUACGGAUGAGAUAAGCGCUGAAAGCAUCUAAGCACGAAACUCACCUCAAGAUGAGGUUUCCUUUAAGGGUCGUCAAAGACUAUGACGUUGAUAGGCUACAAGUGUAAAGGCAGUAAUGUCAAAGCUGAGUAGUACUAAUUACCCGUAAACUUU
rnacentral:rRNA from 1 species